rnacentral:rRNA from 1 species
GACGAACGCUGGCGGCGUGCUUAACACAUGCAAGUCGAACGGAAAGGCCCUGCUUUUGUGGGGUGCUCGAGUGGCGAACGGGUGAGUAACACGUGAGUAACCUGCCCUUGACUUUGGGAUAACUUCAGGAAACUGGGGCUAAUACCGGAUAGGAGCUCCUGCUGCAUGGUGGGGGUUGGAAAGUUUCGGCGGUUGGGGAUGGACUCGCGGCUUAUCAGCUUGUUGGUGGGGUAGUGGCUUACCAAGGCUUUGACGGGUAGCCGGCCUGAGAGGGUAACCGGCCACAUUGGGACUUGAGAUACGGCCCAGACUCCUACGGGAGGCAGCAGUGGGGAAUAUUGCACAAUGGGCGGAAGCCUGAUGCAGCAACGCCGCGUGCGGGAUGACGGCCUUCGGGUUGUAAACCGCUUUCGCCUGUGACGAAGCGUGAGUGACGGUAAUGGGUAAAGAAGCACCGGCUAACUACGUG